ensembl:snoRNA SNORA44 small nucleolar RNA, H/ACA box 44
CAGCAUGUUUCCAAGGGCUAUGGCUUGUUGUGGCCAUGGGAUCUCCAACUGCAUGCAAGAGCAACUUGGAGAGACUUUGACAGCGCAGGUCAGCAUAAUACCUGCAGCUGCCACUCGCCUUUCCUAUAGUA